AACGCAUAUUGCACUCUCUGGUAAUCCGGAGAGUAUGCCUGUUUGAGGGUCAGUAAAUAAUAAUUAUCAUGAAUCUUUGAUUUAUGGAAUUGGGCUUUUAUUUCGGUAGAUCUAUGGCCUUAAAUUUACGUUAUGGGCUUGUCAUAUAAAAUCCAAUCUAAAGGAGCAAUUAAACAUUCUCUCAUUAGCGCGGAUUUUUACAAGCUGUUAUGAUCUUUGGUUGCUUUCAGCAUUUUUACGAGUGCGAAACCAAGAUCGUAAGUUUACUCUAACAAUGACCUCAAAUCAGGCAAGAAUACCCGCUGAACUUAA
rnacentral:misc_RNA from 1 species